rnacentral:rRNA from 1 species
AGAGUUUGAUCAUGGCUCAGAUUGAACGCUGGCGGCAGGCCUAACACAUGCAAGUCGAACGGUAACAGGAAGCAGCUUGCUGCUUCGCUGACGAGUGGCGGACGGGUGAGUAAUGUCUGGGAAACUGCCUGAUGGAGGGGGAUAACUACUGGAAACGGUGGCUAAUACCGCAUAACGUCGCAAGACCAAAGAGGGGGACCUUCGGGCCUCUUGCCAUCAGAUGUGCCCAGAUGGGAUUAGCUUGUUGGUGAGGUAACGGCUCACCAAGGCGACGAUCCCUAGCUGGUCUGAGAGGAUGACCAGCCACACUGGAACUGAGACACGGUCCAGACUCCUACGGGAGGCAGCAGUGGGGAAUAUUGCACAAUGGGCGCAAGCCUGAUGCAGCCAUGCCGCGUGUAUGAAGAAGGCCUUCGGGUUGUAAAGUACUUUCAGCGGGGAGGAAGGUGUUGUGGUUAAUAACCGCAGCAAUUGACGUUACCCGCAGAAGAAGCACCGGCUAACUCCGUGCCAGCAGCCGCGGUAAUACGGAGGGUGCGAGCGUUAAUCGGAAUUACUGGGCGUAAAGCGCACGCAGGCGGUCUGUCAAGUCGGAUGUGAAAUCCCCGGGCUCAACCUGGGAACUGCAUUCGAAACUGGCAGGCUUGAGUCUUGUAGAGGGGGGUAGAAUUCCAGGUGUAGCGGUGAAAUGCGUAGAGAUCUGGAGGAAUACCGGUGGCGAAGGCGGCCCCCUGGACAAAGACUGACGCUCAGGUGCGAAAGCGUGGGGAGCAAACAGGAUUAGAUACCCUGGUAGUCCACGCCGUAAACGAUGUCUACUUGGAGGUUGUGCCCUUGAGGCGUGGCUUCCGGAGCUAACGCGUUAAGUAGACCGCCUGGGGAGUACGGCCGCAAGGUUAAAACUCAAAUGAAUUGACGGGGGCCCGCACAAGCGGUGGAGCAUGUGGUUUAAUUCGAUGCAACGCGAAGAACCUUACCUGGUCUUGACAUCCACGGAAGUUUUCAGAGAUGAGAAUGUGCCUUCGGGAACCGUGAGACAGGUGCUGCAUGGCUGUCGUCAGCUCGUGUUGUGAAAUGUUGGGUUAAGUCCCGCAACGAGCGCAACCCUUAUCCUUUGUUGCCAGCGGUCCGGCCGGGAACUCAAAGGAGACUGCCAGUGAUAAACUGGAGGAAGGUGGGGAUGACGUCAAGUCAUCAUGGCCCUUACGACCAGGGCUACACACGUGCUACAAUGGCGCAUACAAAGAGAAGCGACCUCGCGAGAGCAAGCGGACCUCAUAAAGUGCGUCGUAGUCCGGAUUGGAGUCUGCAACUCGACUCCAUGAAGUCGGAAUCGCUAGUAAUCGUGGAUCAGAAUGCCACGGUGAAUACGUUCCCGGGCCUUGUACACACCGCCCGUCACACCAUGGGAGUGGGUUGCAAAAGAAGUAGGUAGCUUAACCUUCGGGAGGGCGCUUACCACUUUGUGAUUCAUGACUGGGGUGAAGUCGUAACAAGGUAACCGUAGGGGAACCUGCGGUUGGAUCACCU